rnacentral:rRNA from 1 species
UGCCAGCAGCCGCGGUAAUACCGGUGGCUCGAGUGGUGGCCGCUAUUAUUGGGUCUAAAGGGUCCGUAGCCGGCCUGAUAAGUUACCUGGGAAAUCCGGUGGCCUAACCAUCGGGCGGCCAGGUAAUACUAUCAGGCUCGGGACUAGGAGAGACCAGAGGUACUCAUGAGGUAGGAGUGAAAUCCUGUAAUCUUAUGAGGACCACCAGUGGUGAAGACGUCUGGUUAGAAUAGGUCCGACGGUGAGGGACGAAGGCUGGGGGCGCAAACCGGAUUAGAUACCCGGGUAGUCCCAGCAGUAAACGAUGCCAGCUAUGUGUUGCUGGAACCAUGGGUUCCAGCAGUGCCGAAGGGAAGCCGUGAAGGCUGGCCACCUGGGAAGUACGGUCGCAAGGCUGAAACUUAAAGGAAUUGGCGGGGGAGUACCACAACCGGUGGAGCCUGCGGUUUAAUUGGAUACAACGCCGGGAAUCUUACCGGAGGGGGACAGCAGUAUGAAGGCCAGGCUAAAGACCUUGCCAGAUCAGCUGAGAGGAGGUGCAUGGCCGUCGCCAGUUCGUACCGUGAGGC